rnacentral:tmRNA from 1 species
GGGGAUGACAGGCCUUCGACAGCGUGAUUCAUAGUAUGUGUUUGCCCCGAUCCGGGAUGGCAACGGUUCCCGUUACCCACUUGUUGCACCUAUAGAUGCUAAAAACAUCUUCUCUGCUUUGGAGGACACUGUAAAAGGAGCUUACGCAAGUUUGACUCCUUCUUAUAGCUUCGCCAUGGCAGCUUAGUUCGCCUCUGCGCGAACUCGCCGCUCUUCGGACUCCUGCUAGGGAGAAACCGGCGUCACUCGCAGGACUUUCCGUCAUCGGACGUCGUGACGAGAUCGUAUCCAGACGUCAUCACUCGCUCCAUAUCUCUGUUGCUCUCUCAGUGGAUGCGAGAAUGAGAGCUUCAUGAUCGUACAGGUACAUGUGCUACACGUUGGACCCGGGUUCGACUCCCGGCAUCUCCACCA